UCCCUGAGACCCUAACUUGUGAGG
rnacentral:ncRNA from 3 species